AUUGAACGCUGGCGGAAUGCUUUACACAUGCAAGUCGAACGGCAGCACGGACUUCGGUCUGGUGGCGAGUGGCGAACGGGUGAGUAACAUAUCGGAACGUAUCCAAUAAUGGGGGAUAACGAGUCGAAAGAUUCGCUAAUACCGCAUACGCCCUACGGGGGAAAGCUGGGGACCUUCGGGCCUGGCGUUAAUGGAGCGGCCGAUAUCUCAUUAGCUAGUUGGUGAGGCAAAGGCUCACGAAGGCGACGAUCAGUAGCUGGUCUGAGAGGACGACCAGCCACACUGGAACUGAGACACGGUCCAGACUCCUACGGGAGGCAGCAGUGGGGAAUUUUGGACAAUGGGCGCAAGCCUGAUCCAGCCAUUCCGCGUGAGUGAAGAAGGCCUUCGGGUUGUAAAGCUCUUUCGCAAGGGAAGAAAACUUAGCCACUAACAUUGGUUGAGGUUGACGGUACCUUGAUAAGAAGCACCGGCUAACUACGUGCCAGCCGCCGCGGUAA
rnacentral:rRNA from 1 species